AGAGCACCAGCUGGUGAGCAAUGCAAGGAGCAGACGUGUAACCAACUUACAUCAUCUUCAACAUGAAGAUAGCUACAGUGCCAAUGCUUCUGACCCUGGCUCUUUGCCUCAUACAAGAUGCUGCCAGUGAAGGUGAAGAUCAGGAAACAUGCAAUGAAUAUAGGGCACUGAUGAAAAAUGGAAAACUGUUCUGUUCCCAAGAUAAAAACCUUUUUCAAAGCCCUGAUGGAAUAGUGUUCAUCAACAAAUGUGCCACAUGCAAAAUGAUAUUAGAAAAAGAAGCAAAAUCCCAGAGAAGGGCCAGGCAUUUAGCAAGAGCCACCAGGGCUACUGCCCCAGCAAAGUUGAAUUGCAAUGAUUUCAAGCCAGGAAAAAGGGAUGAGCAUUUUCUAUGUACCCUUGAUUAUACACCUGUUUGUGGCACAGAUGGGAAAACAUACAGCAACAGAUGUGCACUAUGUGCUAGGAACGCUAAAACCAGAUCUCAAGUUGGCAUAAAAAGUGAAGGAGAAUGUAAGAACAGUAAUCCAGAGCAGGAUCUAUGUAGUGAUUUUCGGCCUUAUGCGAAGAAUGGAAGACUUGGAUGCACAAAGGAAAAUGAACCAGUUCUUGGUCCUGAUGGAAGGACACACAACAAUAAGUGUGUGAUGUGUGCUGAGCUAUUCUUAAAAGAAGCUGAAGAAAAUGCCAAGCGAGAAGGUGAAACCAGAAUUCGACGAAGUGCUGAAAAGAAUUUCUGCAAGGAAUAUGAAAACCACGUGAGGAAUGGAAAACUUUUUUGUACACGGGAGAGAGAGCCAGUCCGUGGCCCUGAUGGCAGGAUGCAUGGCAACAAAUGUGCCCUGUGUGCUGAAAUUCUCAAACAGCGUUUUUCAGAAGAAGAAAAUAAAGCAGAUGAACACCUGAGAAAGGCUAAAGAAAAAGUUAAAAGAGAAACUGAGAAACUCUGCAGUGAAUAUCAGGAUCAUGCAAAGAAUGGAAUACCUUUCUGUACCACAGAAAAUGACCCUAUUCGUGGCCCAGAUGGGAAAAUGCAUGGCAACUUGUGUUCCAUGUGUCAAGACUUCUACCAAGCAGAAGCUGAAGAAAAGAAAAAGGCUGAAGCAAAAGCAAGAAGUAAAAGAGAACCCGGAAAAGCACGCUCAUAUGCAAAGCUGUGCAGUGAAUACCGCAAGUUUGUGAGAAAUGGAAAACUCUUUUGCACCAGAGAGAAUGACCCCAUCCAGGGCCCAGAUGGGAAAAUACAUGGCAACACCUGCUCCAUGUGUGCGGCUUUCUUCCAAGCAGAAGAAAAAGAAAAGAAAAAGAAGGAAGGUGAAUCUAAAAUUAAAAGGCAAUCUGAGAAUACAUCUUCCUUUGAGGAGAUGUGCAGGAAAUACCGCAAAUCCAGGAAGAAUGGACAGCUUUUUUGCACUAGAGAGAAUGACCCCAUCCAGGGCCCAGAUGGGAAGAUGCAUGGCAACAUCUGCUCCAUGUGUGAGGCUCUCUUUCAACAAGAAGAAAGAGCAAGAGCAAAGGCUAAAAGAGAAACUGCAAAGGAGCUGUGCAGUGAAUACCGUAACUAUGUGAGGAACGGACAUCUUCCCUGCACCAGAGAGAAUGACCCCAUCCAGGGCCCAGAUGGGAAAAUCCAUGGCAACACCUGCUCCAUGUGUGAGGCCUUCUUCCAGCAAGAAGCAAAAGAAAAAGAAGCUGAAUCCAGAAGAGCUAAGAGAGAAGCUGAAAAGGAUACAUGCAGUGAAUUUCGGAGCCUUCUGAAAAAUGGAAGUCUUUUCUGCACUCGAGAAAAUGAUCCUGUGCGUGACCCAGAUGGCAAGACCCAUGGCAACAAGUGCUCCAUGUGCAAAGAAGUCUUCCAGAAAGAAGAUGAAGAAAGAAAGCGAAAAGAAAAGAAACAUCAGAGAAACACUGCAGAGCAUGGUUCCAAACAUUUCGCAAAAGGGAAAGCUCAGGACCAAUGUGCUGAGUAUUGGGAACAAAUGAAAAAUGGAACACUCAGCUGUACUCGGGAGCGUGAUCCUGUACGCGAUGAAAAUGGCAAACCAUACAACAAUAAGUGUACCAUGUGUAAAGAGAAACUGCAAAGAGAAGCAGAGGAAAAAAAUAAGACUUCUGGCUACAGAUCAAAUGGGAAUGAAUCAGCACUAGGAAAGGAUAUAUGUGAUGAGUUUAGAAGUCAAAUGAAAAAUGGACAACUUACUUGCACCCGAGAAAGUGACCCUGUCCAGGGUCCAGAUGGCAAGACACAUAGCAACAAGUGUGCUAUGUGUAAGGAAAAACUGGGAAGGGAAGCAGCCGAAAGAAAAACGAAAGCGCAGGUCUACGUGAGAAACACAGCCGAAAAGAACAAUGGAAAAGAGGAUCAGUGUCGUGAAUUCUGGAACAUGGUGAGAGACGGAAAGCUUAUCUGCAACAGAAAAAUCGACCCUGUUCAAGAUCCAUAUGGCAAGAUGCACAUCAACAAGUGUGCUAUGUGUCAGAGCAUCUUUGAGCAAGAAGCUAGUGAAAGAGAAAAGAAUAAAGAAGAAAAAUCAAGUGUCAAGCCCUCAAAUGAUGUAAAGGAUGAGUGCUGUAACUUUCGGGAGUAUGUGAGGAAUGACGAGCUCAUGCGUACUCGAGAGAAUGACCCUGUGCGUGGUACUGAUGGAAAGUUAUAUAAAAGCAAGUGCUGCAUGUGCAGAAUUAUCCUUCAAAAAGAAGCUUUGGAAAGGACAAGAAUUCGAGAAAAGCCAUCCCACGUUAGAUAUUCUGAAGAGGAAGACAGCCCAGAUUCCUCCAUUUCUUCUCUGAACUCUGAGAUGUGCAGACCGUACCGAGUAUUACCCAGGAUGGGUUACCUUUGUCCAAAGAAUUUACAGCCUGUCUGUGGUGAUGAUGGCCAGACAUACAACAAUCCUUGCAGGCUCUGUCACGAAAAUCUAAUACGCCAAACUAAUACACGCAUACGCAGUGAAGGAAGGUGUGAGGAGAAGAGCAACCCAGAAACAACACCUCUCAGAGUGCCAGCAUCUAAGAUUCCCUAAGAGAGUCUGGAAUCCCAAGAAUGAAUAAAAGGCCUGGCACAACUUCCAGUCACAACUUUCCUGGAAAAAUAGACUGAAAAUCCUACUUUUACUUACUAUUCUGAGAGGUCAAAUGAUGAAAGAGUUGGUGAAAGCCAUGAGGGAAAAUGUGUAUCCCAAUUCUGAAUCGCCUACCUUCACCAUCUGUAUAUACAAAGAAUUCUUCAGAGCUCAUCUUAUUUACUAUAGAAAACAAUACAGAACUGUUGGGGGAAUGGACUCACUGACUUUCAGUCUUUUCCAUCUCUUUCCUCCUAGAUUCUGUGAUCUGAGGGCACAGAGACAUCUUCAUCCAGUCUGUGCUGUGGAAACCUCCUGAUCACAAUGCUGUCUGUCCAACUGCUUGUUCAAUAAAAGUAAACCCCGCA